GCCAGACUCCUACGGGAGGCAGCAGUGGGGAAUAUUGCACAAUGGGGGAAACCCUGAUGCAGCGACGCCGCGUGAGUGAAGAAGUAUCUCGGUACGUAAAGCUCUAUCAGCAGGGAAGAAAAUGACGGUACCUGACUAAGAAGCCCCGGCUAACUACGUGCCAGCAGCCGCGGUAAUACGUAGGGGGCAAGCGUUAUCCGGAUUUACUGGGUGUAAAGGGAGCGUAGACGGCAGCACAAGUCUGGAGUGAAAUCCCGGGGCUUAACCCCGGAACUGCUUUGGAAACUGUGCGGCUGGAGUGCAGGAGGGGUAAGCGGAAUUCCUAGUGUAGCGGUGAAAUGCGUAGAUAUUAGGAGGAACACCGGUGGCGAAGGCGGCUUACUGGACUGUAACUGACGUUGAGGCUCGAAAGCGUGGGGAGCAAACAGGAUUAGAUACCCCGGUA
rnacentral:rRNA from 1 species